rnacentral:rRNA from 1 species
GGGCAGUCUGUGGUGAAAGCUCGUGGCUCACUGCGAGUCGUCAUGAUACUCCUCACUCGAGCACUGUAGAGCAGAUGAAUCCGGGUGUAGCGAGUGGAAUGCGUAGAGAUCCGGAAGAACACCGAUGGCCGAAGACGGCUGCUGAGCAGUAGCUGACGCUGAGACGCGACAGCGUGGAGAGCAAACAGGAUUAGAUACCCUGGUAGUCCACGCCGUAAACGAUGGGUACUAGGUGCUUGGGGGAGCGACCCCCUGAGUGCCGGCGCUAACGCAUUAAGUACCCCGCCUGGGGAGUACGGCCGCAAGGCUGAAACUCAAAGGAAUUGACGGGGGCCCGCACAAGCGGUGGAGCAUGUGGUUUAAUUCGACGCAACGCGAAGAACCUUACCUAGGCUUGACAUGCUGGUGAAACCCUUGAGAAACCAGGGGCCUCCUUCGGGACACCAGCACAGGUGCUGCAUGGCUGUCGUCAGCUCGUGUCGUGAGAUGUUGGGUUAAGUCCCGCAACGAGCGCAACCCCCGUUUCUAGUU